rnacentral:rRNA from 1 species
GAUGAACGCUAGCUACAGGCUUAACACAAGCAAGUCGAGGGGCAGCAUGAACAUAGCUUGCUAUGUUUGAUGGCGACCGGCGCACGGGUGCGUAACACGUAUCCAUCUGCCCGUUACUCGGGGAUAGCCUCCUGAAAGGAAUAUUAAUACCGGAUGGCAUUCAUUGGCGGCAUCGCUUUUGAAUUAAAGAUUUAUCGGUAACGGAUGAGGAUGCGUACGAUUAGCUAGUUGGCGGGGUAACGGCCCACCAAGGCUACGAUCGUUAGGGGUUCUGAGAGGAAGGUCCCCCACACUGGAACUGAGACACGGUCCAGACUCCUACGGGAGGCAGCAGUGAGGAAUAUUGGUCAAUGGGCGAGAGCCUGAACCAGCCAAGUAGCGUGAAGGAUGACUGCCCUACGGGUUGUAAACUUCUUUUGUUUGGGAAUAAAAGACGCUACGUGUAGCGUUCUGCAUGUACCUUACGAAUAAGCAUCGGCUAAUUCCGUGCCAGCCGCCGCGGUAACAC